AAACGAUGAAUGCCAGCCGUUAGUGGGUUUACUCACUAGUGGCGCAGCUAACGCUUUAAGCAUUCCGCCCGUUAAGUACGGUCGCAAGAUUAAAACUCAAAGGAAUUGACGGGGUCCCGCACAAGCGGUGGAGCAUGUGGUUUAAUUCGACGCAACGCGCAGAACCUUACCAGCCCUUGACAUCCCGGUCGCGGACUCCAGAGACGGAGUUCUUCAGUUCGGCUGGACCGGAGACAGGUGCUGCAUGGCUGUCGUCAGCUCGUGUCGUGAGAUGUUGGGUUAAGUCCCGCAACGAGCGCAACCCCCGUCCUUAGUUGCUACCAUUUAGUUGAGCACUCUAAGGAGACUGCCGGUGAUAAGCCGCGAGGAAGGUGGGGAUGACGUCAAGUCCUCAUGGCCCUUACGGGCUGGGCUACACACGUGCUACAAUGGCGGUGACAAUGGGAUGCUAAGGGGCGACCCUUCGCAAAUCUCAAAAAGCCGUCUCAGUUCGGAUUGGGCUCUGCAACUCGAGCCCAUGAAGUUGGAAUCGCUAGUAAUCGUGGAUCAGCACGCCACGGUGAAUACGUUCCCGGGCCUUGUACACACCGCCCGUCACACCAUGGGAGUUGGUUUUACCUGAAGACGGUGCGCUAACCGAAAGGGGGCAGCCGGCCACGGUAGGGUCAGCGACUGGGGUGAAGUCGUAACAAGGUAACCGUAA
rnacentral:rRNA from 1 species